UACGGGGGGGGCAAGCGUUGUUCGGAAUUACUGGGCGUAAAGGGUUCGUAGGUGGCCAACUAAGUCAGACGUGAAAUCCCUCAGCUUAACUGGGGAACUGCGUCUGAUACUGGAUGGCUUGAGUGCAGGAGAGGAACGCGGAAUUCCAGGUGUAGCGGUGAAAUGCGUAGAUAUCUGGAGGAACACCGGUGGCGAAGGCGGCUCGCUGGGACGUUACUGACGCUGAGACGCGAAAGCGUGGGGAGCAAACAGG
rnacentral:rRNA from 1 species